AGAUAUAAGAAGCAGUGCCAAAUCAGGGGUUGGUGAACUCUCAUGCUUUCUUUCCUUAAAGUAUUUUUACAUGUUCGGACAUUGCUUUGCAUGGGGUGUGAUGGCCCACUGUUUCCGCAAGACCAUACCAUUUCUGGAUGGAUCGGCCUGCUUGGAGCUCCAGUGUCUCACAGCCUCAGAGGGAACCUUUAUCUGAGUUGCUGAGCAAACUCUGGGUACACCAAUGAAGGCUUGCUAAGGAGACUCUGGCAAGAGCUACCGACGUGCUCUUCUGCUCCUGAGGUUCAGAUGUAGCCAGUGCAAGCAAACACUGAAUCUAAGAAGUUCCAUGUCAAGAACGUGGGGGGCCCCCUCUGUCGUUUGGAAUGAAUAACUUGCACCCCUUUUAUGAUCAGACACCCUAUGGAGUUAAAGCUUCAAGAGUUAGAGGGACACAUAGGUGUGUGCCACCCUCAACCAACAGCCCCCCACUGUAGGGGUACACUGUAGUCUUCUGCCUCACACAGUUGUUGAUCUCUUGUCUGCUGACCACAAGAAGACUUCCAGUUUACACUCUUAGCUUAUGCUUCCGAGGGUGAUCUUUCUUCAGGCUUCAGUCAAUGUCAAUAUUAUGGAUUCUAUCAUGGCCUGGCCCAGGCUCUGUCUUCACACUGUACCCACCCUGCCCACCACGGACCAGCAGGUGGUCCUCUGCCUUCCAGGGCCUUGUACUCUCAGGUACCUCAUGGGGACUCAACCACAUGUAUAGAGGGAACCAAUAAACAGCAUUCUUGG